rnacentral:lncRNA from 1 species
UCCUGGCACUCUAUCCACUGUGCCCAGCUGCCCAAGAGCUGGUAGCGAGCUCCCAGGCCGCCCAGUUCAAAGUCCCCAUACAGGAGGAAACCGAGGCCCAGAGCAGCCACCUCACUUAGCCAAGAUCCCAUAGCAGGAGAGGCAGGAUUUGCUCUCAACAAGUCCGUCUUCCUUCCAUUCUAUCCUGCUCUGUCCCCCUUUAAUAACUAACAGCGGCUCACACACAGGUCAUGCCAGAAGGACCGGGGUAUCAGCAAGAGACAAAAGCCUUUACCAAAGGCUAGAGGAGUCGGGAAUCCGGGACGGGGUGGCCUGGGGAGGCCGAGGUGCUGCUGGGACUGGGGACCUGAAGGCAGCCACCGCGUGUGGCCCCAGGAGGAAGGGCCUGGGAGAGCGGGAGAGACCUUUUCCUGAGAACUCCCUGUCUGUCUGGGAGUUAAUUGGGGGGUAGAAAAGAGUCAAGUCCAGGAGGCAGGAGAGACUGACCAGAAAAGCAAACAUCAGGAGCAGUUGGGAACAUAUUUCAAUUGAAAACAGAGACUGGGGCAGGGUGGAGGGUGUGAGGCGCAGAUAGAGAGGGGCCCCGAGACGGGGCGGGAAGCUGGGCCUGGGAGCCCCAACGGGGGCUGGUCGGGCUUCCUAUUUCCUAGACGACUGGGGGGGACCCUGUCAGUCAUAAUGAAUAGAACUGGAGCUGGUUAAGCGAGACAUAAAAGGGUCCCGUUGAAGACUCGGGCCUUGAAAAUGGCUUCUUUAGAGAACACAGAUCUUCAGAACACGAGACAUGGAAUUCUAAGGCAAAGAGGCCUCUUAGGGCUCCCCUUAAAGAUGGGGAAACUGAGGCAACAAGCGAGGAAGUGAAUUGCCAAUAGCACACAGUAAGGUGUCAAUGGUGGCAAAAAUAUGACCUCUCUUCUCCUCUCUCUCUCUCUCUCUCUCUCCCUCCCUCCUUCCCUCUCUCUCUCUCUCUCUCUCUUCUCUCUCUCCUCUCUCUUCUCUUCUCUCUCUUCUCUCUCUGUCUCUCUGUCUAUCUGCCUGUCUGCCUGUCUGUCUCUGUCUCUGUCUCUCUCUUCUCUCUGUCUUUCUGUCUCUCUCUGUGUCUCUCCCCUCUCUCUUCUCUCUCUCUCUCUUCUCUCUCUGUCUCUGUCUGUCCCUCUGUCUCUUUGUCUCUCUGCCUCUGUCUGUCUCUCUGUCUGUCUGUCUCUCUCUCUCUCUCUCUCUCUCUCUCUCUCUCUCUGUAUCUCUCCCUCAAUCUUUCCACUCUGUCUCUCUUCCCUCUUCCCCUUCCCCUUCCCCUCUCCCUAUCUCUCCUCUUCCUCCCUCCCUUUCUUUCUGUCUCUUCUCUCUCUCUUUCUCUAUCUCUCCCUCCCUCCCUUUCUCUCUGUAUCUGUCUCUCUUCUCUUCUCUCUAUCUCCCUCCCUUUCUCUGUCUCUCUGACUCUUUCUUCCUCUCUCACUCUGUUUCUCUCUGUCUCUUUCUCUCUCUUUGUCUCCCCCCUCCAACUCUCUCCAUCUUUUGCUUCAAAAGGGUCAAACAUGUAGCCCAUUAGUAGUAGCUUACAGCCCACAACACUCUCAUGUAGCCCAAACCAGAUUAAAAUUUAAUUGGGAAUAUUUAUCAAAAUAAAUAAGAAUACAAUAAAACCUAGAUAAUAUUA